AUCUGGUUUUGUUCACGUUUUCUUGCAGAUACCUUGGCCAGAGCAUAACCGGUUAUCUUCACCCAAGAGACCUACUGUUAGUCAAUCGUUUUGGUUUUAAAGGUAAAUGCAUUGUUAGUCACAAUGUCUAGUUACUGGACCAAAAGGAAAAUAAUAUUGAAAAGAGUUGAGAGGGACAAACAGGACAUUACUUGAAUCACUACAUGCUACAGAAGUUGCAUCGAUUCCAGAAAACCAGGAACAUUUUGAGCCAUCUGAAGACUUCAGAGCUGAACCAGGUUUCUCCCCAGUAAUCCAGAAUCCACUUCACAGAGCCAAGAGUUUGAGUACAAGGCACUUGACUUUCUGGAUAAAAGGUGUCGAGCUCGUCAAGUACUAAGCUUUACACCACCAGCAGCAAAUUUACCAUGGCAGCAUAUGGGUGAAAACGCUGGAGGAGAAAGUCAUCGCUUUGUUAUUGGCCCUUGGACGCCCCUGGCAUCUCGUGUACAGCACAAAGUUUUCAGCUAUGAAGAUUUCCAGAGACUCCAGAAUGAAAACCAAGCUCUGAGGGAGGAGAACCAAGCCCUGAGGGAAUGUAAUGCACAAGGAGCUUCGGAUGACAGCGGCUCACUUCAAGAGCAGGUGAAGCAAGUAGGGACAAUGUUGAAGACAUUUGCUCUCACUGGGCAAUCAGUGCGUUACCUGAAAGGAGCAUCUGACCGUGAAGGCAGAAAAAGCCGCACAGCUGAGAAGGACCCACAGCCGACCCCUUAAACCUAGGCUGACUACUGACACCCCAGCAUCACUGAACUGGAACACUUUCUUUAUCCUGCAGUCAGUAACAUCAAGAAGCCAGAAGUACCAGACUACACUCACCAAAUCCACCCUGUUUUUUUUUUUUUGUAUUUUAACUUUAGUAUUGGCUUAUUUCAUUCCGUCUUAACGAUUCUAUUAUAGUUUGUAAAUCCUAUUUCAUACCUGUUACUUGAUAUUGCACAUUAACUAGUACCAAAGUUCUACUUUCAUUUCAUCACUGUGCUUAACUCUUAUUCUAUUAAUAAUAGCUUGGAAAUACUAUUUCGUACCUCUGAUACUUGAUAUUGCACAUUACCUGGUACCAAAUAUUCUACUUACUCUGUUUUUAACAUCAGCAUUUUUCGUUCCAUCACAGUGCUUAACUGUUAUUCUAUUGUUAAAUAUAGCUUGUAAAUCCUUGUGCCACAGGUCAGCAUUGCAGUUAUAAUGGUCUGUUCUACUACUGUUUUUACCUCCGUAUUUUUAUAUAAAUAUAUAUGUCAAGUUUUGCUUAUCACAGAUACAAGAGACACAGAUCUUAUUGCAGCACGGUGUAAAUCUUGUGCUCCAGGUCAUCAAUGCCGUUAUAAUGGUCUAUUCUACUCUAGAGCUUUACUCUAAAUUAUUACCACUUUUCCUAUUGUUAGAAAUGGCUUGAAAAUGUGAUGUUAUACCACAAUUUAUUUGGUAUCCUGCACAUUCUUCGGUACCAAAUAUCCUCAUUACUAAUGUUUACUGGUAAUUAUUUUCAUCCCAGAGCUGACCUCUUUAUAUUAUUAACAAUUAUUGUGUUUGUGUUAUAAUUUGCUUGUAUGGCUGUUUUUUUUUAACCAACAUUUUAUUGGAAACCUGCAUGUUCUGAAGUGUGUAUGUAUAUUCUUU
ensembl:lncRNA